GAGUUUGAUCCUGGCUCAGAGCGAACACUGGCGGCAGGCCUAACACAUGCAAGUCUAGCGCCCCGCAAGGGGAGCGGCAGACGGGAGAGUAACACGUGGGAACGUACCCUUCAGUUCGGAACAACCAAGGGAAACUUUGGCUAAUACCGAAUACGUCCGUAUGGAGAAAGAUUUAUCGCUGAAGGAUCGGCCCGCGUCUGAUUAGCUAGUUGGCGGGGUAACGGCCCACCAAGUCUGCGAUCAGUAACUGGUGUGAGAGCACGACCAGUCACACGGCACUGAGACACGGGCCCGACUCCUACGGGAGGCAGCAGUAAGGAAUAUUGGUCAAUGGACGCAAGUCUGAACCAGCCAUGCCGCGUGGAGGAUUAAGGCCCUCUGGGUUGUAAACUCCUUUUAUCUGGGAAGAAAUGCAUUUUUUCUAAAGUGCUUGACGGUACCAGAGGAAUAA
rnacentral:rRNA from 1 species